rnacentral:antisense_RNA from 1 species
GGAUAAUGCAAGUGUUUAACAGAUGCUUCACUAUUAAAAUAUUUUCCCCCCAAGUCUCAAAUAUUGAAGAAUCUCUAACCAGAAGGCGCAGAUCAUUCAUGGGGAAGUAAAACCGAAACCAGUCCUCUCCACCCCCUGCGGGUCUUCACUUUCCCAGUCUACAUCUGCCUGUGACUCCAGAAAGACAAACUGCAGAUUGGCCAAGUGCCUUUCAAAUUGUUUUUUACUGGAUGAAGAAACUCAACCAAGAAAAUAUAUGUCAAUUCUUGUAUAUGGGACAAUAUUAGCUGCUGUGAUUUUUAAUACUAGCAUAAAAUAUAAGAAUGUUUUUAUUACUGUGACAUUGUUUUUUUCUAAAUGAAUGCAUAGUGUAACAAUUGGUGUCAAAAAGCAUUGAAUUUUUUUCAAAUGGAUUAAGCUGGAAUAAUAAAGUGUAUCUAUGAGAUGAUUUCUGUAAACUCUGACUUGCUGAGAAAAAAGUGAAAAAGCUUUUUCUGGAAGAAACAUGGCAACUUAACCAUUAUUAAUCUGGACUAAAUAAAACAGGAAACUGCUUCUUUA